AUGAACGCUGGCGGCUUGCCUAAUACAUGCCCGUCGAGCGCACAGACGAGGAGCUUGCUCCUCUGACGUUAGCGGCGGACGGGUGAGUAACACGUGGAUAACCUACCUAUAAGACUGGGAUAACUUCGGGAAACCGGAGCUGAUACCGGAUAAUAUAUUGAACCGCAUGGUUCAAUAGUGAAAGACGGUUUUGCUGUCACUUAUAGAUGGAUCCGCGCCGCAUUAGCUAGUUGGUAAGGUAACGGCUUACCAAGGCAACGAUGCGUAGCCGACCUGAGAGGGUGAUCGGCCACACUGGAACUGAGACACGGUCCAGACUCCUACGGGAGGCAGCAGUAGGGAAUCUUCCGCAAUGGGCGAAAGCCUGACGGAGCAACGCCGCGUGAGUGAUGAAGGUCUUCGGAUCGUAAAACUCUGUUAUUAGGGAAGAACAAAUGUGUAAGUAACUAUGCACGUCUUGACGGUACCUAAUCAGAAAGCCACGGCUAACUACGUG
rnacentral:rRNA from 1 species